UUGCUUUAACACCCAGGCCUCACCCCCUCCCCCACCCCCCGCCCACGAACAGCUUCGUGGACAGUUUACUCAGACCGACUCGAAGAUGGAGAAACUGAGCCCCAGAGAGAGAAGAGUCAGCUGAGACUCCCCCAGAUAAGAUGAUCACCAGAUAUUCUGGGACCUUGCUGGGGACAGACAGCCCUCCCUGCCCGGCAAUGGGCCUUUGGGAUGUGGCACAAGCUCCCGGGAAACCUGGAGUGACAAGGGCGCCUGUCCCUGGGGAGCGGAGAGCGCGGAGUUGGUGCUGAGUCAGCCCUGACGUGGCAGAGGAGGAGCAGGCCCCUGCAGAACCAGGGCUCUUCAGUGUCUCCAGGUCCUUGGUGAAGUGGAACUGGACCAGGCGUGAGUUCCGGAACAGCGGCACCAGGGAAACGUCAUCUCCACCGCUCAACCAGCCCAACCCUGGAGUGCUGUGGAAGCCGCUCUCAGAUCCCUUGGCAGCCCCCAAGGGGAUGAGGCCCAUGAAGAUUUUCUUCUUGGACGAGUACAGGAGCAUGAGCACGCGCACCUCACAGGGGGAGAUGUGGGGGAACAGCAUGCAGCCCGCCUGUG
rnacentral:antisense_RNA from 1 species